GUAAGUUCAAAGAAUGUGUAGAGAUUGAAAAAAAUUGAAAGCAAGAACUCAUUAUGUUUAGAUGUACCAAUCAGAUGGAACUCAACUUUCUUGAUGUUGAAUACAGCUCAAAAAUUUGAAAGAGCUUUUGAUAGGUUUGAUGAACAAGAUCCAUGUUUUAAAUUAGAUCUUCAAUAUACAGAAUGGCAAGUUAUUUUGAAUGAGAAUGAAGAGAUGAUAUUUGAAUCAGAUGGUAAACCUAAAAGAGAAUUGAAGACUUUUGAUGGGAAACCAACAAGUGCAUAUUGGAAUAAUGUUAGACUUUUUGCAUCUUUACUGCAAGUUUUUUAUGAACUAACAUUAAAAGUUUCAGGAUCUUUGUAUGUCACAUCCAAUACUUUUGCACACGAGAUUAGUUAUAUCCAUACCAUCUUGAAGGAGUGGCAACAAAGUGAUGAUAUUGAUGUGUAUUCAAUGGGAAUUAGAAUGAAAAACAAAUUUGACAAGUAUUGGGGAGAUCCCGAGAAAAUGAAUAAGUUGCUUUAUAUUGCUGUGGUGCUUGAUCCAAGGUAUAAAUUAGAUUUCGUAGAAUUUAUGUUGAUUGAAUUAUAUGGAGAUGAGAAGGGUGCAAAAGUAGGAAAGAUAAUAAAGGACACUUUAUUUGCUUUGUACAAGAAUUAUAAGGAAAAAAUGGAGCCUCAAUGUGGUACUUCAAUAGUUUCAUCUAUUCCAGAAUCAGUUGACAAUGAUAAUACUUCAACAAAUAUGAGUGAUUUGAAAAGACAAGCAAUCAUAGUGAAGUAUAAAAACAAAAGGCACAAGUUUUUGGUGAUGGCAAUAUGUCAGAAUUAGACAAGUAUCUUAAUGAAAUAGUUGAAGAAUAUUGUGAUACUUUUGACAUUUUGGGAUGGUGGAAGCAAAAUUGUCACAGAUUUCCUAUCCUUUCUCAAAUUGCUCGUGAUGUAUUAGCUAUUCCGAUAUCGACAGUUGCUUCAGAAUCCGCUUUCAGUACUAGUGGUCGGGUACUUGAUUGUUUUCGGAGUUCAUUGACUCCUAAUGUGGUAGAAAGUCUUAUUUGUACUCAAGAUUGGCUUCGGUUAAAUUUACAAUCACUCAAUGUUGAAGAAAUUUUAGAGGAUGUGGAAAAACUUGAAAAUGAUUUCUCAAAAAUCAUAAUGGACUCGUCUUCUUCGACAACACCGGUGACAUAAGGAUCAAUGCUAUAUAGAAUCACUUGCGGAAAGAAAAAGGUUUAUUUGGAAAGGAUUGCUAAGGACACAUAGCUAUGUUGGGGUUGACCUUGCUGCUUUCUGUUUUAAUGUUGCUCUCUGAUGUAUACGUGAAAGCUGCCAUCCAAAUUAUGAAUUUUUUUAUCUUGAUGUAACCAAACAAUUGUGUGAAGUUUUUUGUAUGUCUCAAACAAGUAGACUUUGCUUC